AGUAACGCGUGGAUAACCUGCCUCACACUGGGGGAUAACAGUUAGAAAUGACUGCUAAUACCGCAUAAGCGCACAGCACCGCAUGGUACAGUGUGAAAAACUCCGGUGGUGUGAGAUGGAUCCGCGUCUGAUUAGCCAGUUGGCGGGGUAACGGCCCACCAAAGCGACGAUCAGUAGCCGACCUGAGAGGGUGACCGGCCACAUUGGGACUGAGACACGGCCCAA
rnacentral:rRNA from 1 species